UACGUAGGGUGCGAGCGUUGUUCGGAAUUACUGGGCGUAAAGAGUGUGUAGGCGGUUCUGUAAGUUUGGUGUGAAAUCUCCUGGCUUAACUGGGAGGGUGCGCCGAAAACUGCAAGGCUUGAGUACUGGAGAGGAUAGCGGAAUUCCUGGUGUAGCGGUGAAAUGCGUAGAUAUCAGGAGGAACACCAAUAGCGAAGGCAGCUCGCUGGGACGGUACUGACGCUAAGGCGCGAAAGCGUGGGGAGCGAACAGG
rnacentral:rRNA from 1 species